rnacentral:rRNA from 1 species
UAACGAAUCUUCCGCAAUGCACGAAAGUGUGACGGAGCGACGCCGCGUGUAGGACGAAGCCCUUCGGGGUGUAAACUACUGUCAGGGGAAAGAAAGUACUGAUCUACCCCAGAGGAAGGCACGGCUAACUCUGUGCCAGCAGCCGCGGUAAGACAGAGGUGCCGAGCGUUAGGCGGAAUCACUGGGCUUAAAGCGUGUGUAGGCGGAUGCCUACGGACCUUGUGAAAUCCCACGGCUUAACCGGGGAAC